rnacentral:rRNA from 1 species
GGCAGAGGUGCCGAGCGUUAGGCGGAAUCACUGGGCUUAAAGCGUGUGUAGGCGGAUCUGUAAGUACCUUGUGAAAUCCCACGGCUCAACCGUGGAACUGCUUGGUAUACUGCGGGUCUUGAGCCACCUAGGGGCAAGUGGAACAAACGGUGGAGCGGUGAAAUGCGUAGAUAUCGUUUGGAACGCCAAUGGUGAAAACAACUUGCUGGGGGUGUGCUGACGCUGAGACACGAAAGCCAGGGGAGCAAACGGG